rnacentral:rRNA from 1 species
GUCCACGCCGUAAACGAUGUCUGCUAGCCGUUGGGAUCCUUGAGGUCUCGGUGGCGCAGCUAACGCGAUAAGCAGACCGCCUGGGGAGUACGGCCGCAAGGUUAAAACUCAAAUGAAUUGACGGGGCCCGGCACAAGCGGUGGAGCAUGUGGUUUAAUUCGAUGCAACGCGAAGAACCUUACCAGGUCUUGACAUCCAGCGAACUGCCCAGAGAUGGCGGGUGCCUUCGGAACGCUGAGACAGGUGCUGCAUGGCUGUCGU